AUUGAACGCUGGCGGCAGGCCUAACACAUGCAAGUCGAGCAGAUGAGUGGAGCUUGCUCCAUGAUUCAGCGGCGGACGGGUGAGUAAUGCCUAGGAAUCUGCCUGGUAGUGGGGGGCAACGUUUCGAAAGGAACGCUAAUACCGCAUACGUCCUACGGGAGAAAGCAGGGACCUUCGGGCCUUGCGCUAUCAGAUGAGCCUAGGUCGGAUUAGCUAGUAGGUGAGGUAAUGGCUCACCUAGGCGACGAUCCGUAACUGGUCUGAGAGGAUGAUCAGUCACACUGGAACUGAGACACGGUCCAGACUCCUACGGGAGGCAGCAGUGGGGAAUAUGGACAAUGGNGAAGCCUGAUCAGCCAUGCCGCGUGUGUGAAGG
rnacentral:rRNA from 1 species